rnacentral:rRNA from 1 species
UACGGGGGGGGCAAGCGUUGUUCGGAAUUACUGGGCGUAAAGGGCUCGUAGGCGGCCAACUAAGUCGGAUGUGAAAUCCCCAGGCUCAACCUGGGAACUGCAUCCGAUACUGGAUGGCUUGAAUUCGGGAGAGGGAUGCAGAAUUCCAGGUGUAGCGGUGAAAUGCGUAGAUAUCUGGAGGAAUACCGGUGGCGAAGGCGGCAUCCUGGACCGACAUUGACGCUGAUGCGCGAAAGCCAGGGGAGCAAACGGG